CCCUGCUCUCCUCCUUCUCUCUAUCUCCUUCGUUCUUACUCCCCCUCUCUGUUCUCUCUCUCUCUACCCUGAAUCUCUCUCGUCGACCUCCUCCUCUAUCCUGAUCUCUCUUCUCUUUAUCUCUCCUUAACCCUAAUCUUCUCCCUCUCUCGCGGUAUCUUCCUCUCUCCUUCGUUCGGCUCGUCCACCGCCGCAACAACAACCACCGCCGCAUCAACAACCACCGCCAUUAACCAUCAAGCUUAUUGUCGCACUUACUCUCUCCUCGUGAUGAAAAUAUGGGUUUUCUGGUCUAAUUCGACCAUGAAAACUCUAGAUCUAGAGUUUUCAUGGUCGAAUUAGACCUUUAUAACACAAAUUCAAGAUAAUUUCGGGGGUUUUUGCUGAAAUUCGAGGUGUUAAUUGAUGCUGGAUUCAAGAGUUUCAUUUUGGAAUAUUGUUAUUUUUUAAUGUUGUAAUUUUUUUUUUGUACUGUAUAAUUCAUUGUAAUUUUUUUUUGUACUUAAUACUUCAUUGUAAAAUUUUUUUUAUUGUACAGUAACAAUCUAUUAUUUGAAUAUAAAUGUGAGUAUAUUUCAUUGCGCUCUUAUAUUGA